UACAGAGGUGGCAAGCGUUGUUCGGAAUUACUGGGCGUAAAGGGCGCGUAGGCGGCCUUCUAAGUCAGACGUGAAAUCCCCCGGCUUAACCUGGGAACUGCGUCUGAUACUGGGAGGCUAGAGUAUGGGAGAGGGAUGUAGAAUUCCAGGUGUAGCGGUGAAAUGCGUAGAUAUCUGGAGGAACACCUGUGGUGUAGACAGCUUACUGGACCAUUUCUGACGCUGAGACACGAAAGCGUGGGUAGCAAACAGG
rnacentral:rRNA from 1 species